GAUGAACGCUGGCGGCGUGCCUAAUACAUGCAAGUCGAGCGAACAGACGAGGAGCUUGCUCCUCUGACGUUAGCGGCGGACGGGUGAGUAACACGUGGAUAACCUACCUAUAAGACUGGGAUAACUUCGGGAAACCGGAGCUAAUACCGGAUAAUAUAUUGAACCGCAUGGUUCAAUAGUGAAAGACGGUUUUGCUGUCACUUAUAGAUGGAUCCGCGCCGCAUUAGCUAGUUGGUAAGGUAACGGCUUACCAAGGCAACGAUGCGUAGCCGACCUGAGAGGGUGAUCGGCCACACUGGAACUGAGACGCGGUCCAGACUCCUGCGGGAGGCAGCAGUAGGGAAUCUUCCGCAAUGGGCGAAAGCCUGACGGAGCAACGCCGCGUGAGUGAUGAAGGUCCUCGGAUCGUAAAACUCUGUUAUUAGGGAAGAACAAAUGUGUAAGUAACUAUGCACGUCUUGACGGUACCUAAUCAGAAAGCCACGGCUAACUACGUG
rnacentral:rRNA from 1 species